rnacentral:rRNA from 1 species
GAGUUUGAUCUUGGCUCAGAUUGAACGCUGGCGGCAUGCCUUACACAUGCAAGUCGAACGGCAGCACGGGAGCUUGCUCCUGGUGGCGAGUGGCGAACGGGUGAGUAAUGCAUCGGAACGUAUCCUGGAGUGGGGGAUAACGUAGCGAAAGUUACGCUAAUACCGCAUAUUCUGUGAGCAGGAAAGCGGGGGACCUUCGGGCCUCGCGCUCUUGGAGCGGCCGAUGUCGGAUUAGCUAGUUGGUGAGGUAAAGGCUCACCAAGGCGACGAUCCGUAGCAGGUCUGAGAGGAUGAUCUGCCACACUGGAACUGAGACACGGUCCAGACUCCUACGGGAGGCAGCAGUGGGGAAUUUUGGACAAUGGGGGCAACCCUGAUCCAGCCAUGCCGCGUGAGUGAAGAAGGCCUGGUU